rnacentral:rRNA from 1 species
AAUAUUGGACAAUGGGCGAAAGCCUGAUCCAGCAAUACCGCGUGUGUGAAGAAGGCCCUAGGGUUGUAAAGCACUUUUGUUAGGGAGAACGGGUUUUGUAGUUAAUAGCUACAGGAUCUGAUGUUACCUAAAGAAUAAGCACCGGCUAACUCCGUGCCAGCAGCCGCGGUAAUACGGAGGGUGCAAGCGUUAAUCGGAAUUACUGGGCGUAAAGGGCGCGUAGGUGGUAACUUAAGUUGGGUGUGAAAUCCCCGGGCUCAACCUGGGAAUUGCAUCCAAAACUGGGUUGCUAGAGUGUGGUAGAGGGUAGCGGAAUUUCUGGUGUAGCGGUGAAAUGCGUAGAUAUCAGAAGGAACAUCAAUGGCGAAGGCAGCUACCUGGGCCAACACUGACGCUGAGGCGCGAAAGCGUGGGGAGCAAAC